rnacentral:lncRNA from 1 species
CUUUUCUUUACUGAUCUUUAGUUCAGCCUUAAUAGCUACUGCCUAGAAAAAAAAAUUUUUUCUGGCCAAGAUUUUUUACCCUAGCAAAGCUAUUGCUGAUCCAGCUCGUUCCAGCCAUUAGAUAGCUCGGCUCCACUCGGCCGCUUCUGCCUGCCUGCCUGCAUUCCUGCCUCCGCUCCAGACCUGCUUGCUAUUUGACCCAGACUGCCCCUCACCUGCCUGCCCUUCCCGGCUGGCUCAGCUCAGCUCCUGUUCCCAGCGUCUGGACCUGUUUUGACCCAGAUCUGGAUCACCUGGUAAUCCACCACCCCCUGGCUCAGCAAACUCUAGCCUCGGAGCAGAUUGCUCAUCACCUCAGGCCCAGGACUCAUUUCUACCAGCUUGUAAAGAUGGGGAGUGGAUUGUGGCCAGAUAUGAAGAGGAAAUGGAUCUCAUUUUUGGCCAAGUGCAACCUGCCAUGACACCAUAAGGUGAGAGCAUAAGUGUCACAAUAAAGCCUGCUAUUCUACCUUCCA